rfam:Acanthisitta chloris contig116262, whole genome shotgun sequence.
GCCUGGAUAGCUCAGCUGGGAGAGCAUCAGACUUUUAAUCUGAGGGU